UGGGUGACGAGUGGCGGACGGGUGAGUAAUGUCUGGGAAACUGCCCGAUGGAGGGGGAUAACUACUGGAAACGGUAGCUAAUACCGCAUAACGUCGCAAGACCAAAGAGGGGGACCUUCGGGCCUCUUGCCAUCGGAUGUGCCCAGAUGGGAUUAGCUAGUAGGUGGGGUAACGGCUCACCUAGGCGACGAUCCCUAGCUGGUCUGAGAGGAUGACCAGCCACACUGGAACUGAGACACGGUCCAGACUCCUACGGGAGGCAGCAGUGGGGAAUAUUGCACAAUGGGCGCAAGCCUGAUGCAGCCAUGCCGCGUGUAUGAAGAAGGCCUUCGGGUUGUAAAGUACUUUCAGCGAGGAGGAAGGCGUUAAGGUUAAUAACCKYAKUSAUUGACGUUACUCGCAGAAGAAGC
rnacentral:rRNA from 1 species